AACAGCCAGCAAGACUGGCAACUCUCAGGGCCACCGUCACACAUGGACAGCUGGUAGAAUGCUAGUGUGGGCAAGCAGCAGUGCACUUGAACUGACGUGGACACUCAGGUUAGAGCCAGAAGAACCAUUAAAUGCCUGCAUGACUUCAUGGGUUUCCUGUUUUCCCGUCUCAGGCUGGGAGUGGAUUGAGUAACUUAAUGGCUGAAGAAUUUUAAUGGUGAAAGCAAAGGAAAAUGCCUGCAGAGAACCAUGCUGACCUCCCAGUCUCCCAACCCUGUGAAACUGAGGCCCUGAGUAAAGAUUCCAGCUCACUAAGACCAACCGGUACUAAGCAGUAACAGCUUAGGCAGCUGCCAUGGAAACAGCAUCCACAUCUAUAAUGUGACUAAUGAGCCGUCAAAGAUACCACCAAGAAAUUAAGGCAAAGAAGCUAAUAAUCGCUUUUGCAUAUCAUAUCCAACCACAUGUAUUCAAAGGAUAGAUAAUCUCUUGUGGCUACAAAAGUUCCACACAGGAGCAACACAACUUCAAAUACCUCACUCAACUGCUGAGAUGUGUAACAUACAGAAGAGAAGUCAUAAAGAAAUGAUUAGUAAGGACCUGCUGGGGGCAGGGUCUGCAUUUGUUCAAAGUCACUGUAGCCCACCAUCCUGGAAACAUCGGAGAAAGUUCAAAGGGGACAGAUGGUCUUUGUAUUGAGGAUCAAGGCCAGGACUGCCAUUCUCAAAUCCUGCACAGUUGUUCCUAACAGAAGAUCCAUACAAUGGGAGAAUCAUGGGAUCCCUGUCUUGUCUCAGUUCAAGAAAACCACCUUCCCUUUAGGCACAACCUGCUCCAGGAUCCUGCAUAGCUGCCUGCUUUUUAAGACUUUGAAAGAAAGUUGCCUUUGUUUCUCAGUUUUAUAACUUUCUGGACCAAUCAAACAUUUCAGUUUAUAUUUUCCUUGAUUUUUAAAAUGAAUUAUUUUUAUCUUUAUCUGGAUAUAAUUGAUAAAUGCAGUCUGUUUUUAAGGUGUGCAACUUGAUAUGUUGAAUAAAGUGUAUAGACUUAGAAACGACAAGCACAAUAAAGAUAGACAAUGCACCUGUCACCUCAUGAUUACCUCUGCGUAUGUAUAUGUUUGUAAUGAGAGCAGUUAAGAUCAACCAAGUGUGCAACACUGUAUGGCUAUGAAUCCCAGGCUACACAUUACUCCUCCAGAACUUACUCAUCACACAAAACUAAAGAUUAAUACUUGGGACAGCAUCUUCCCUUUUUAGCAAUCUCAACACUUAGCAACCAUAAUUUUUUUACCCAGUGUCUCUGUAAGUUCAACCAUUUUUUAUUCCACAUUAGUGAGGCCAUGUGGGAUUUGCCUCUUUGUGUCUGGCUUAUUUCAGUUCACUUGGUGUUUCCUAGUUCAUGUAUGGCAUCACAAAGGUAGGAUUUUCCUCUCUUUUAAAAUGAGUUUUUGUUUACUUAUAGGAAUGCUUUGCCUGCGUGUAUGUAUGUGCCCCAUGAGCAUGCAGUACCUGCAGAGGGCAGAAGAGGGCAGAAUUCACUUGAACUGGAGUUACAAAUGUUUGUAAGUCACCAUGUGGGUGCCAGGAACCAAAACUAGGUCCUCUACAAGAUCAGCAAGUACUCCUAACCUCCGAGCCAUCAUUUCAGCCGUCAGGGUUCCCUUCUUUCUUAAGAUCACAUAAUAGUCCAUCAAGUGCCCACAUCGUACAUUCUUUCUCCAUUUACCUUUUAAUGAGAUUGUGCUUAUAUCCACAUCUUUACUCUCUAUUAAUAGUGUAGUGAUGAAUACAGGAGUAGAGCUCUAUCUUGAACAUCAUGCUUUCAUUUUCUUUGGAUAUAAUACUGAGAAGUGGCAUUGACUGGUCAUUUAGUAAUUGUACUAUUAAUGUUUUGCUUUGGUUUUUUUUUUUUUUUUGGUGUGGAAUCUCCUCACUGUUUUCCUAAAUGUUUAUAUUGGCAUCCUCAUCAACAAUGUACUGCAGUCCCCUCUUCUCCACAUCUUUGCCAGCAUCUUUAUAACCGUCAUGCGGUGGUGUCUCAUUGUGGUUUUUGAUUUGCAUUUCCCUAAGUAUUACUGAUUGUCCUCCUUUGCUGUAAUAAACAUCUUGGCCAAAAGCAA